ACAUGGUCGAUUCAGAUUCGUUAUAGAGAGUUUUCACUGUAAUAAUAAACUAACUUUACAUUUUAUUUAAUACCCUUUCCUUACAAGCAGCCUUUGUAAUUAAUUACAACAGUAGUUCUGUAAUAGUUUUACUUAUCUAAUUUUAAUAUGUCUACUGGCUAAAUUCAUAAACAACACUUAGUAUUUACUGAAAUAUUACUUGCCUAAGAGGCACUUAUGAUUUGUAUUCAUUAAUAAUACUAAAAUUUUACUUAAGGAAGAUUUAUAAGUGAUAUUAUUUUUAUCUUUCCACAAUAUUUCUAUUUGUUAUUUUUGAUGUUGUUAUCAACCAUGAUAUUUUUCCAGUACCUAUUUAUAGAUAUAUAGAUACAUUAUGGACGUUGGCCCGCAGUCGUUGAGUGUUGACCGCUGUAGUCCGUAAUGUGAAAAAUAUAAUUUUGUAGCCAUGUCAAAAUCUAAAGCGCUUAUCGCUGAAGAAAUUACAUGCUUAGAAGAAUUAGUCCUAAAGUAUAAACACAUCAUCUUAAUGAAAAAAAGUGAUUCUGCCACGGUUGCAUUACAGCAAAAAACUUUGAUGACAAUUGAUAAAGAAUUUGAUAUGCAAGGCUUAUUUUUAAAUCAUACUGCCGWUCAAUUAAAAAAGAUGGGAGAACACGCUACAGUCAAAUAAUAAAGUAAUAGCAGCAGAAAAACAAGAAAGAAGAAAAACAGGAAGUCAAGUUACAGUUGUGACAAAUCAGGAAUCGAUCGAUGAAUUGAUUGAAACAACUGUAAAUAUAGAAAUUCCAAAUAUCAUUGACAGUGAUCAUUUUGAGAUAAUUUAUGCUGAUGACACUAAUGAUAAUUUAAGUGAAGAAAUGGUUCCCUGUACUCCAGAGAAAAAUCUACAUCAACCAGAGUCAACAAUGCUAUUGAAAACAACAUACCCAAUUAAAAAACAUGAUUUGCCUAACA